GAUGAACGCUGGCGGCGUGCCUAAUACAUGCAAGUCGAGCGAACGGACGAGACGCUUGCUUCUCUGAUGUUAGCGGCGGACGUGUGAGUAACACGUGGAUCACCUACCUAUAAGACUGGGAUAACUUCGGGAAACCGGAUCUAAUACCGGAUAAUAUUUUGAACCGCAUGGUUCAAAAGUAAAAGACGGUCUUGCUGUCACUUCUAGAUGCAUCCGCGCUGCAUUAGCUAGUUGGUAAGGUAACGGCCUACCAAGGCAACGAUGCAUAGACGACGUGAGAGAGGGAUCGGCGACACUAGAGGUGGGACGCGGACCAGACUACUACGGGACGGAGCAGUAGGGAAUGGUCCGCAAUGGGCGAAAGCCUGACGGAGCAAGGCCGCGUGAGAGAUGGAGGUCUUCGGAGCGGAAAACUCUGUUACUAGGGAAGAACAGAUGUGUAAGUAAAUGAGCAGAGCUUGACGGUAACUAAUCAGAAAGCCACGGCUAACUACGUG
rnacentral:rRNA from 1 species